UACGUAGGGUGCGAGCGUUAAUCGGAAUUACUGGGCGUAAAGGGUGCGUAGGUGGCAUGGUAAGUUUGAUGUGAAAGCUCAGGGCUUAACCCUGAAAUGGCAUUGAAUACUACUGUGCUGGAGGUUUGGAGGGGGGACUGGAAUUCUUGGUGUAGCAGUGAAAUGCGUAGAUAUCAAGAGGAACACCAGUGGCGAAGGCGAGUCCCUGGACAACACCUGACACUGAGGCACGAAAGCUAGGGGAGCAAACAGG
rnacentral:rRNA from 1 species